GAUGAAGAACGUAGCGAAAUGCGAUAAGUAAUGUGAAUUGCAGAAUUCAGUGAAUCAUCGAAUCUUUGAACGCACAUUGCGCCCGCCAGUAUUCUGGCGGGCAUGCCUGUUCGAGCGUCAUUACAACCCUCAGGCCCCCGGGCCUGGCGUUGGGGAUCGGCGGAAGCCCCCUGCGGGCACAACGCCGUCCCCCAAAUACAGUGGCGGUCCCGCCGCAGCUUCCAUUGCGUAGUAGCUAACACCUCGCAACUGGAGAGCGGCGCGGCCACGCCGUAAAACACCCAACUUCUGAAUGUUGACCUCGAAUCAGGUAGGAAUACCCGCUGAACUUAAGCAUAUCAAUACGGAGGA
rnacentral:misc_RNA from 1 species